rnacentral:rRNA from 1 species
GACGAACGCUGGCGGCGUGCUUAACACAUGCAAGUCGAGCGGUAAGGCCCUUCGGGGUACACGAGCGGCGAACGGGUGAGUAACACGUGAGUAAUCUGCCCAUCACUUCGGGAUAACUCCGGGAAACCGGUGCUAAUACCGAAUAUGACCGCCUUGGGCAUCUGGGGUGGUGGAAAGUUCCGGCGGUGAUGGAUGAGCUCGCGGCCUAUCAGCUUGUUGGUGGGGUAGUGGCCUACCAAGGCUUCGACGGGUAGCCGGCCUGAGAGGGUGACCGGCCACACUGGGACUGAGACACGGCCCAGACUCCUACGGGAGGCAGCAGUGGGGAAUAUUGGACAAUGGGCGAAAGCCUGAUCCAGCAACGCCGCGUGAGGGAUGACGGCCUUCGGGUUGUAAACCUCUUUCACCUAUGACGAAGCGUAAGUGACGGUAGUAGGAGAAGAAGCACCGGCCAACUACGUGCCAGCCGCCGCCGUAAUAC